rnacentral:rRNA from 1 species
GAUGAACGCUGGCGGCGUGCCUAAUACAUGCAAGUCGAGCGAACAGAUGAGGAGCUUGCUCCUCUGACGUUAGCGGCGGACGGGUGAGUAACACGUGGAUAACCUACCUAUAAGACUGGGAUAACUUCGGGAAACCGGAGCUAAUACCGGAUAAUAUAUUGAACCGCAUGGUUCAAUAGUGAAAGACGGUUUUGCUGUCACUUAUAGAUGGAUCCGCGCCGCAUUAGCUAGUUGGUAAGGUAACGGCUUACCAAGGCGACGAUGCGUAGCCGACCUGAGAGGGUGAUCGGCCACACUGGAACUGAGACACGGUCCAGACUCCUACGGGAGGCAGCAGUAGGGAAUCUUCCGCAAUGGGCGAAAGCCUGACGGAGCAACGCCGCGUGAGUGAUGAAGGUCUUCGGAUCGUAAAACUCUGUUAUUAGGGAAGAACAAAUGUGUAAGUAACUAUGCACGUCUUGACGGUACCUAUUCAGAAAGCCACGGCUAACUACGUG